CCGGACUCGGAAUGGCGCGAGACUUUGCGAGGCACCUCUGUGUGCCAAAAAUAGGCCACGGGCACAGCCACGCCCAAAAAUAACCGCCUGAAGCCCGGGACGCCAAGUUCGUCCAGCGGAAAAAGGCCACAAAAACGGGUGGGCUAUAGCCUUGGGGGGUGGGGCUGGCCCACUUCGUCCGCCGGACUCGGAAUGGCGCGAGUCUUUGCGAGGCACCUAUGUGUGCCAAAAAUAGGCCACGGGCACAGCCACGCCCAAAAGUAACCGCCUGAAGCCCGGGACGCCAAGUUCGUCCAGCGGAAAAAGGCCAAAAAAACAGGUGGGCUAUAGCCUUGGGGGGUGGGGCUGGCCAACUUUGUCCGCCGGACUCGGAAUGUCGCGAGACUUUACGAGGCGCCUCCGGGUGCCAAAAAUAGGCCGCGGUCACAGCCGCGUCCAAAAAUAACCACCCGAAGGCCGGGGCGCCAAGUUCGUCCAGCAGAAAAAGCCCACAAAAACGGGUGGGCUAUAGCCUUGGGGGGUGGGGCUGGCCAACUUCGUCCGCCGGACUCGGAAUGGAGAGAGACCUUGCUAGGUGCCUCCGUGUGACAAAAAUAGGCCGCAGGCACAGCAGUGCUCAAAAAUACCCGCCCGAAGGGCGGGACGCCAAGUUCGUCUAGCGGAAAAAGGCCACAAAAACGGGUGGGCUAUAACCUUGGGGGGUGGGGCUGGCCGACUUCGUCCGCCGGACUCGGAAUGCCGUGAGACUUUGCGAGGCACGUCCGUGUGCCAAAAAUAGGCCGCGGACACAGCCGCGCCCAAAAAUAACCGCCCGAAAGCCGGGGCGCCAAGUUCGUCCAGCGGAAAAAGGCCACAAAAACGGGUGGGCUAUAGCCUUGGGGGGUGGGGCUGGCCAAAUUCGUCCGCAGCACUCGGAAUGGCGCGAGACUUUACGAGGCGCCUCCGUGUGCCAAAAAUAGGCCGCGGGCACAACCGCCCCCAAAAAUAACCGCCNNNNNNNNNNNNNNNNNNNNNNNNNNNNNNNNNNNNNNNNNNNNNNNNNNNNNNNNNNNNNNNNNNNNNNNNNNNNNNNNNNNNNNNNNNNNNNNNNNNNAAAAACGGGUGGGCUAUAGCCUUGGGGGGUGGGGCUGGCCAAUUCGUCCGCCGGACUCGGAAUGCCGCGAGACUUGGCGAGGCACUCCGUGUGCCAAAAAAUUGGCCGCGGGCACAGCCGCACCCAAAAAAUAACCACCCGAAGGCCGGGGCGCCAUGUUCGUCCAGCGGAAAAAGGCCACAAAAACGGGUGGGCUAUAGCCUUGGGGGGUGGGGCUGGCCAACUUCGUCCGCCCGACUUGGAAUGCCGCGAGACUUUGCGAGGGUCCUCCGUCUGCCAAAAAUAGGCUGCGGGCAAGGCCGCGCCCAAAAAUAACCGCCGAAUGCCGGGGCGCCAACUUCGUCCAGCGGAAAAAGGCCACAAAAAGGGUGGGCUAUAGCCUUGGGGGGUGGGGCUGGCCAACUUCGUCCGCCGGACUCGGAAUGGCGGGAGACUUGGCGAGGCACCUCCGUGUGCCAAAAAUAAGCCAUGGGCACAGCCGCGCCCAAAAAUAACCGCCCGAAGGCCGGGGCGCCAAGUUCGUCCAGCGGAAAAAGGCCACAAAAACGGGUGGGCUAUAGCCUUGGGGGUGGGGCUGGCCCACUUCGUCCGCCGGACUCGGAAUGGCGCGAGACUUUGCGAGGCACCUCUGUGUGCCAAAAAUAGGCCACGGGCACAGCCACGCCCAAAAAUAACCGCCUGAAGCCCGGGACGCCAAGUUCGUCCAGCGGAAAAAGGCCACAAAAACGGGUGGUCUAUAGCCUUGGGGGGUGGGGCUGGGCAACUUUGUCCGCCGGACUCGGAAUGUCGCGAGACUUUGUGAGGCGCCUCCGUGUGCCAAAAAUAGGCCGCGGGCACAGCCGCGUCCAAAAAUAACCACCCGAAGGCCGGGGCGCCAAGUUCGUCCAGCAGAAAAAGCCCACAAAAACGGGUGGGCUAUAGCCUUGGGGGGUGGGGCUGGCCAACUUCGUCCGCCGGACUCGGAAUGGAGAGAGACCUUGCUAGGUGCCUCCGUGUGACAAAAAUAGGCCGCAGGCACAGCAGUGCUCAAAAAUACCCGCCCGAAGGGCGGGGCGCCAAGUUCGUCUAGCGGAAAAAGGCCACAAAAACGGGUGGGCUAUAACCUUGGGGGGUGGGGCUGGCCGACUUCGUCCGCCGGACUCGGAAUGCCGUGAGACUUUGCGAGGCGCGUCCGUGUUCCAAAAAUAGGCCGCGGGCACAGCCGCGCCCAAAAAUAACCGCCCGAAGGCCGGGGCGCCAAGUUCGUCCAGCGGAAAAAGGCCACAAAAACGGGUGGGCUAUAGCCUUGGGGGGUGGGGCUGGCCAAAUUCGUCCGCAGCACUCGGAAUGGCGCGAGACUUUACGAGGCGCCUCCGUGUGCCAAAAAUAGGCCGCGGGCACAACCGCGCCCAAAAAUAACCACCCGAAGGCCGGGGCGCCAAGUUCGUCCAGCGGAAAAAGGCCACAAAAACGGGUGGGCUAUAGCCUUGGGGGGUGGGGCUGGCCCACUUCGUCCGCCGGACUCGGAAUGGCGCGAGACUUUGCGAGGCACCUCUGUGUGCCAAAAAUAGGCCGCGGGCACAGCCGCACCCAAAAAAUAACCACCCGAAGGCCGGGGCGCCAUGUUCGUCCAGUGGAAAAAGGCCACAAAAACGGGUGGGCUAUAGCCUUGGGGGGUGGGGCUGGCCAACUUCGUCCGCCCGACUUGGAAUGCCGCGAGACUUUGCGAGGGUCCUCCGUCUGCCAAAAAUAGGCUGCGGUCAAGGCCGCGCCCAAAAAUAACCGCCGAAUGCCGGGGCGCCAACUUCGUCCAGCGGAAAAAGGCCACAAAAACGGGUGGGCUAUAGCCUUGGGGGGUGGGGCUGGCCAACUUCGUCCGCCGGACUCGGAAUGGCGGGAGACUUGGCGAGGCACCUCCGUCUGCGAAAAAUAAGCCGUGGGCACAGCCGCGCCCAAAAAUAACCGCCCGAAGGCCGGGGCGCCAAGUUCGUCCAGCGGAAAAAGGCCACAAAAACGGGUGGGCUAUAGCCUUGGGGGUGGGGCUGGCCCACUUCGUCCGCCGGACUCGGAAUGGCGCGAGACUUUGCGAGGCACCUCUGUGUGCCAAAAAUAGGCCACGGGCACAGCCACGCCCAAAAAUAACCGCCUGAAGCCCGGGACG
rnacentral:lncRNA from 1 species